rnacentral:rRNA from 1 species
CAGCAGCCACGGGAAUACGAAGGGUGCAAGCGUUACUCGGAAUUACUGGGCGUAAAGCGUGCGUAGGUGGUGGUUUAAGUCCGUUGUGAAAGCCCUGGGCUCAACCUGGGAAUUGCAGUGGAUACUGGGUCACUAGAGUGUGGUAGAGGAUAGUGGAAUUUCCGGUGUAGCAGUGAAAUGCGUAGAGAUCGGAAGGAACAUCUGUGGCGAAGGCGACUAUCUGGGCCAACACUGACACUGAGGCACGAAAGCGUGGGGAGCAAACAGGAUUAGAUACCCGCGUAGUUCCUGUCUCUUAUAC